rnacentral:rRNA from 1 species
UUUUUUGAGAGUUUGAUCCUGGCUCAGGAUGAACGCUGGCGGUGUGCCUUAGGCAUGCAAGUCGAGCGGUAACAGGUCUAGCUUGCUAGACGCUGACGAGCGGCAGACGGGUGAGUAACACGUAGGAAUCUACCGAAUAGUGGGGAAUAGCUCAGCGAAAGUUGGGGUAAUACCGCAUACGCCCUCCGGGGGAAAGCAUUUAUGCGCUAUUCGAGGAGCCUGCGGGCUAUCAGUUUGUUGGUGGGGUAAUGGCCUACCAAGACUAUGACGGCUAACCGAUGUGAGAGCAUGAUCGGUCACAAGGCUACUGAGACACGGAGCCUACACCUACGGGUGGCAGCAACCGGGAAUAUUGCGCAAUGGACGAAAGUCUGACGCAGCGACACCGCGUGUGGGAAGACGCUUUUCGGAGUGUAAA